CAGCUUUACAAAAAACAACACACAGAAGCUGAGAUGGUGUCGGUUUUAUUCAAUUCCACUGAGGCUGACUGGAGUUUGUACUGUAUGUGUAGUGGUGUGUGGGUAAAAUCACUAGGAAAGCACCCCCCACAAAAAGGCAGAUUUAAACCUGUGUUGUGAUAAUUGUGAUGUUUGCUCUAUAACAUAUAUACAUUAACCUUGAGACUGUGAUAUAUAAUCAUGGACGGAGACACAUUUAGAAAGAUCCUGUCGUACUGCAUUUUAUUAUUGUAUACAAAGAAAAACAAGACACGUGUAUAAAUGCAUUGCUUCAAAACUACUCUUAGUAGCCUCAGUAAGAAGACACUUAUCCACAGCAAAAUAUUACAACCCCUUUUUUAAAGAAACAUAGCAUUUGAAAUAAAUACGUUUGGAUGAUAACAUCUUGCUGAUUGCAUUGGGGGCAAUGCACUUUCACACUAUUUACACUUUAAAUCUGACUAAAUAAUCAUCACCGUCUCACAGACCCUCAGUGCUCACAGAAACUGUUGCCCUUUACAUUCAAACCUCAUCCCUUCAUCGUCACAUUCUAUUUUUAAAUGUGCUUUUGUCAAGGAACCAAAAGUGAAAACUACACAUUUUUCCCAUUACCAGAAUAUACAGUGUACUGUAUACUAUAUAAAGACAGGACAAUGUACCAGAUAUAACUUGGUGUCAAACAGAAGACAUGCAAGCACUCAAUAAAGUGAAGAAUAUGAAUGUGACCAACAUGUCCCUCUUGAAGGUGACAUAAAGUAGACUAUACAGGUUACAUAAAGUAGACUAUACAGGUCACAUAAAGUAGACUAUACAGGUUACAUAGAGUAGACUAUACAGGUUACAUAAAGUAGACGAUACAGGUCACAUAAAGUAGACUAUACAGGUUACAUAAAGUAGACUAUACAGGUUACAUAAAGUAGACUAUACAGGUUACAUAAAGUAGACUAUACAGGCUACAUAGAGUAGACUAUACAGGUUACAUAAAGUAGACUAUACAGGUUACAUAAAGUAGACUAUACAGGUUACAUAGAGUAGACUAUACAGGUUACAUAAAGUAGACUAUACAGGUUACAUAAAGUAGACUAUACAGGUUACAUAGAGUAGACUAUACAGGUUACAUAAAGUAGACUAUACAGGUUACAUAGAGUAGACUAUACAGGUUACAUAAAGUAGACUAUACAGGUUACAUAAAGUAGACUAUACAGGUUACAUAGAGUAGACUAUACAGGUUACAUAAAGUAGACUAUACAGGUUACAUAAAGUAGACUGUACAGGUUACAUAAAGUAGACUAUACAGGUUACAUAAAGUAGACUGUACAGGUUACAUAAAGUAGACUAUACAGGUUACAUAAAGUAGACUAUACAGGUUACAUAAAGUAGACUAUACAGGUUACAUAAAGUAGACUAUACAGGUUACAUAAAGUAGACUAUACAGGUUACAUAAAGUAGACUAUACAGGUUACAUAAAGUAGACUAUACAGGCUACAUAAAGUAGACUGUACAGGUUACAUAAAGUAGACUAUACAGGUUACAUAGAGUAGACUAUACAGGUUACAUAGAGUAGACUAUACAGGUUACAUAAAGUAGACUAUACAGGUUACAUAAAGUAGACUAUACAGGUUACAUAAAGUAGACUAUGCAGGUUAUUUACCAGGAUUUGGAGUGUAGAUGAGUAGAUCUGUCAGGUGUGUUAGACAGUAGAGGGGUGUCACUACAUUCCUCAGUGUUUGUUUAUACUGUAAGCUUAUGGUGUCUGUCAGGAACGCCACACCAGACACACCCUUACGUAUUCUCUUGGCAGUUAGUCACGUUGUAAAAUCUGUGUCCUUGGUAACUCAAAGCAGAAUGAGAAAAAAACAACACAGUUAUUGGCGGCUUGAAAAAAUGUAUGUGUUGCGUAAGUUGUUUUCUAUGUCAGCUGAAUGCACCUUUAAGUUCAUUGAACCAUGGUUAUGUGAGUGUGAAUUUACGUUGUACGUAAAUUCCCCAUAUUAAUUCCCCUCCCCAUAUUUAAGUCAUUUAAUGGACAACAACACUUAGGCUUCUACUUACAACACUUAGGUUCCAGCUUAUACAUACUAUAUACAUACACAGUAUAUUUGACAAUCUUGUUCUAUUUGACAUAUAUUUAUCAACUGUGCUGUGAUGUUUCACAAAAGUUCCGAACCAAAAGUCAUACACCCAAUGUUUAUUUAGGUAUAUGUGGGUCUUUUAACAACAUCGGUCAUGCAUCUUGUUGACAUUCAUCCAAGGACAUCUCAACUUCAUUACAAAUCCUCAACAACAACAAAAAAUCCCGUGACUUGUACUUAGAGAGACCAUUCCUUUAAACGCAUCCUGAUACAAACAGGAAACAAGUUGUGGACGAACCAGAAACAUUUUACGAAGUGCAUCACCUUCCUCACUUUCCCCUCCUCUCAUCUCUCCCAUCCUUGUUAUUGUCUCACAAAUCCCUCCUGUCUCUCUUAUCACCCCUCUUGUGUCUCUAUGACCCCACUUG
ensembl:lncRNA